rnacentral:rRNA from 1 species
ACGGAAGGCAGCAGUGGGGAACAUUGCACAAUGGGCGAAAGCCUGAUGCAGCGACGCCGCGUGAGUGAAGAAGUAUCUCGGUAUGUAAAGCUCUAUCAGCAGGGAAGAAAAUGACGGUACCUGACUAAGAAGCCCCGGCUAACUACGUGCCAGCAGCCGCGGUAAUACGUAGGGGGCAAGCGUUAUCCGGAUUUACUGGGUGUAAAGGGAGCGUAGACGGUUUGGCAAGUCUGAAGUGAAAUGCGGGGGCUCAACUCCUGAACUGCUUUGGAAACUGUCGAACUAGAGUGCAGGAGAGGUAAGUGGAAUUCCUAGUGUAGCGGUGAAAUGCGUAGAUAUUAGGAGGAACACCAGUGGCGAAGGCGGCUUACUGGACUGUAACUGACGUUGAGGCUCGAAAGCGUGGGGAGCAAACAGGAUUAGAUACCCUGGUA